rnacentral:rRNA from 1 species
GGAGUUAAUUUUUCUGAAGUUUUCGGAUGGACGAAGAAUUAACUUAGUGGCGAACGGGUGAGUAACGCGUGGGUAACCUGCCUUUUAGAGGGGGACAACAGUUGGAAACGACUGCUAAUACCGCAUAAGACCACGGUACCGCAUGGUACAGUGAUCAAAGGAGCAAUCCGCUAAAAGAUGGGCCCGCGUCUGAUUAGAUAGUUGGUGGGGUAACGGCCUACCAAGUCGACGAUCAGUAGCCGGACUGAGAGGUUGAUCGGCCACAUUGGGACUGAGACACGGCCCAGACUCCUACGGGAGGCAGCAGUGGGGAAUAUUGCACAAUGGAGGAAACUCUGAUGCAGCGACGCCGCGUGAGGGAAGAAGGUAUUCGUAUUGUAAACCUCUGUCUUCGGGGACGAUAAUGACGGUACCCGAGGAGGAAGCACCGGCUAACUACGUGCCAGCAGCCGCGGUAAUACGUAGGGUGCGAGCGUUGUCCGGAAUUACUGGGUGUAAAGGGAGCGUAGGCGGCUCUGCAAGUUGGAAGUUUAAUCUAGGGGCUCAACCCCUAAUCGCUUUCAAAACUGCAGAGCUUGAGUGAAGUAGAGGUAGGCGGAAUUUCCGGUGUAGCGGUGGAAUGCGUAGAUAUCGGAAGGAACACCAGUGGCGAAGGCGGC